ACCAGUGUAUCGUUUGAGGAAGCAGUGACACAGAAGGAUAGUCAGAGCGCGUUGAUGGUAGAGCGCGUCCAAGCAGUGAGGCUGAUACGCAGUAAAGUACACGUAUCGAAAGGCUGGGCUGUGACGGGGAGUUAAAUGAUAUGAAGCUGAUGAAUUCACGCUGGCGAGAAAAGCUGCUAACGAGAUAUACGGUGCCCGUACCGCAAACCGACACAGGUAGGCGAGGAGAGAAUCCUAAGACGAGCGAGAGAACCAUUGUUAAGGAACUCGGCAAAAUUACCUCGUAACUUCGGGAGAAGGGGUGCCUAUAGAGAUAUAGGUCGCAGAGAAUAGGCCCAAGCGACUGUUUAACAAAAACACAGGUCUGUGCUAAAUCGAGAGAUGAAGUAUACGGGCUGACGCCUGCCCGGUGCUGGAAGGUUAAGGGAAUGAGUCAGGAGCAAUCCGAAGCUUUGAACUGAAGCCCCAGUAAACGGCGGCCGUAACAAUAACGGUCCUAAGGUAGCGAAAUUCCUUGUCGGGUAAGUUCCGACCUGCACGAAUGGCGUAACGAUUUGGGCGCUGUCUCAACAGUGGACUCGGCGAAAUUGUAGUAUGCGUGAAGAUGCGCAUUACCCGCGACUGGACGGAAAGACCCCGUAGAGCUUUACUGUAGCCUGAUAUUGGAUUUUGGUAAUGAAUGUACAGGAUAGGUGGGAGACUGAGAGACAAGGACGUCAGUUUUUGUGGAGUCGAUGUUGGGAUACCACUCUUUCAUUACUGAAAUUCUAACCUGUAGCCGUAAACCGGUAUGGGGACAGUGUCAGGUGGGCAGUUUGACUAGGGCGGUCGCCUCCGAAAGAGUAACGGAGGCGCCCAAAGGUUCCCUCAGAAUGGUUGGGAAUCAUUCAAAGAGUGUAAAGGCAAAAGGGAGCUUGACUGCGAGACUGACAGGUCGAGCAGGUACGAAAGUAGGGCUUAGUGAUCCGGUGGUAGAGAGUGGAAUUGCCAUCGCUUAACGGAUAAAAGUUACCUCGGGGAUAACAGGCUGAUCUCCCCCAAGAGUUCACAUCGACGGGGAGGUUUGGCACCUCGAUGUCGGCUCGUCGCAUCCUGGGGCUGGAGCAGGUCCCAAGGGUUUGGCUGUCCGCCAAUUAAAGCGGCACGCGAGCUGGGUUCAGAACGUCGUGAGACAGUUCGGUCCCUAUCCAUCGUGGGCGCAGGAUAUUUGAGAGGAGCUGUUCUUAGUACGAGAGGACCGGAAUGGACGUACCUCUGGUGCAUCAGUUGUCAUGCCAAUGGCACAGCUGGGUAGCGAAGUACGGAUCGGAUAAACGCUGAAGGCAUCUAAGCGUGAAACCGACCUCAAGAAGAGAUAUCCCAUUGCGAAAGCAAGUAAGUCCCCUGGUAGACUACCAGGUAGAUAGGUCGGAGGUGUAAGUGCAGUAAUGCAUUGAGCUGACCGAUACUAAUAGGACGAGGGCUUGACC
rnacentral:rRNA from 1 species